rnacentral:rRNA from 1 species
UACAAAAUGACUCUCGGCAACGGAUAUCUCGGCUCUUGCAUCGAUGAAGAACGCAGCGAAAUGCGAUACUUGGUGUGAAUUGCAGAAUCCCGUGAACCAUCGAGUCUUUGAACGCAAGUUGCGCCCGAAGCCAUUAGGCCGAGGGCACGCCUGCCUGGGUGUCACA